UGAACGCUGGCGGUAUGCUUUACACAUGCAAGUCGUACGAGAGUUUUUAACUCAAGUGGCGGACGGGUGAGUAACACGUAAGAAUUUGCCUUUAGGAGGGGGACAACAACUAGAAAUGGUUGCUAAUACCCCAUAUGCUUUCGAGUGAAAUGGAUUUUUCCGCCUAGAGAGAAGCUUGCGGCUGAUUAGCUUGUUGGUGAGGUAAUGGCUUACCAAGGCGACGAUCAGUAUCUGGUUUGAGAGGACGAUCAGACACACUGGAACUGAGACACGGUCCAGACUCCUACGGGAGGCAGCAGUGGGGAAUUUUCCGCAAUGGGCGAAAGCCUGACGGAGCAAUACCGCGUGAGGGAUGACGGCCUAUGGGUUGUAAACCUCUUUUUUCAGGGAGGAAUAAAAUGACGUGUACCUGAAGAAUAAGCAUCGGCUAACUCC
rnacentral:rRNA from 1 species